UUAGGAAUAUUGGGCAAUGGAGGAAACUCUGACCCAGCAACGCCGCGUGAAGGAAGAAGGUUUUCGGAUUGUAAACUUCUGUAUUAUGUGACAAAGAAAGUGAUGGUAGCAUAAUAGAAAGCUACGGCAAACUACGUGCCAGCAGCCGCGGUAAUACGUAGGUAGCGAGCGUUGUCCGGAAUAACUGGGCGUAAAGGGAGCGUAGGCGGUUAAUUAAGUCUAAUGUGGAAGUCUGUGGCUUAACCAUAGGAGUGCAUUGGAUACUGGUUAACUAGAGUACGGAAGAGGUAAACGGAACUACUAGUGUAGCGGUGGAAUGCGUAGAUAUUAGUAAGAACACCAGAGGCGAAGGCGGUUUACUGGGACGUAACUGACGCUGAGGCUCGAAAGCGUGGGGAGCAAACAGG
rnacentral:rRNA from 1 species